rnacentral:rRNA from 1 species
UACAGAGGGUGCGAGCGUUAAUCGGAAUUACUGGGCGUAAAGCGCACGUAGUCGGCUUUGCAAGUCGGUUGUGAAAUCCCCGGGCUCAACCUGGGAACUGCAUCCGAGACUGCAUUGCUAGAGUAUGGGAGAGGAAAGCGGAAUUUCUGGUGUAGCAGUGAAAUGCGUAGAUAUUGGGAGGAACACCAGUGGCGAAGGCGGCUCACUGGACCGGAACUGACGCUGAGGCGCGAAAGCGUGGGGAGCAAACAGG